rnacentral:rRNA from 1 species
GAUGAACGCUGGCGGCGUGCCUAAUACAUGCAAGUCGAGCGAACGGACGAGGAGCUUGCUUCUCUGAUGUUAGCGGCGGACGGGUGAGUAACACGUGGAUAACCUACCUAUAAGACUGGGAUAACUUCGGGAAACCGGAGCUAAUACCGGAUAAUAUUUUGAACCGCAUGGUUCAAAAGUGAAAGACGGUCUUGCUGUCACUUAUAGAUGGAUCCGCGCUGCAUUAGCUAGUUGGUAAGGUAACGGCUUACCAAGGCAACGAUGCAUAGCCGACCUGAGAGGGUGAUCGGCCACACUGGAACUGAGACACGGUCCAGACUCCUACGGGAGGCAGCAGUAGGGAAUCUUCCGCAAUGGGCGAAAGCCUGACGGAGCAACGCCGCGUGAGUGAUGAAGGUCUUCGGAUCGUAAAACUCUGUUAUGAGGGAAGAACAUAUGUGUAAGUAACUGUGCACAUCUUGACGGUACCUAAUCAGAAAGCCACGGCUAACUACGUG